UUUCCGGAAAGAGCCGAACAUCCUCCCGCGGGACUGGCGGGCAGAGGGUGCCACGAGAUAGCCGAGCAUUUCCGGAAACAGCCGAGCGCAAUCGCGUCAGCUAAGCGUUUCCCUAAGCUCGGCGGGGCCCGGCUGGGCUUCGAGAUGACCUAGUGAUUCCGGAAAUCGCCGAGCGUGUCCCCCCGCGGGACUGGUGGAACCGAGCCUGAGCCCCGAGACUGCAGUUUCUGCAAAGAACCGAGCGUGCGCUCGGACCCAGAGGGAGGCCCUGUGAGUCGAGAGCCAGGGAUGGACCACCAGUUUCCGGAACUGAUGGAUGGGUCCUAAGGGCGCGAGGCGGCCCCGAGCUCAGGGAGCAGGAGGCGGUGGGGUGGGAAGGGAGCUCGCCACAGGAAUCUGAGCUUUUCAGGAAAGAGCCAAAUAAGCUGGGAUUGAAAGCGUUUCCAUGGCAGCCCAGAGCGUCCGGAAACAGCUGAACUAUUUGCAGCUCAGCGAGCGCGGGAACACGCCCAACGAGGACCCAGAGACGGACGAUUGUUUCCGGAAUAGCCGAAGACACUCGGAAGCGUGGCUCGGGGCUUCUGGUACUGCCCAGAAGUAACCCAAAAACACGGAGUUGGGCUCGGGGCCCCAGAUCGGUGUCCGGAUGCAGCUUUUAAGAGCAGAGCCUAUGAUGGGUACUCGGGGAGAGGGCAGGAGGAGGCCAGGGACCCGAGAAGACAUCAGGGAGAAUCUCACUGGCGAACUCCUGUGCCACCUUCAAAACCCCUUCAAAGGAAGUCGGUUUUCACCCUGUCCCCGCCACACUCUCUCCCCUUACCCCUUUCUUUGCCCUUCACAAAUCCAGACGUUGGGCCUCCUCUUUGUAAA